CAAGUUUUUCCACACUGAUUUUGACAAACCAUUUCGGUAUGGACCUUGCUUUGUGAACGGGGGCAAUGUCAGGCUGAAACAGGAAAGGGCCUUCCCCAAACUGUUGCCACAAAGUUGGAAGCACAGAAUCGUCUAGAAUGUCAUUGUAUGCUGUAGUGUUAAGCUUUCCCUUCACUGUGCCGAGCAUGGAGACAGUGACACUGAAGCAUGCAUGAGAGCACCAGCUGUUCCAGACGACUGUGUGAUCACACUCUCCGUAGCCAAGCAGAUCGCCAUACAUAGUCCCUGUGCCCAAGAACGCCAAGGUAACCUGCUUAAAUGACUACCACCCCGUAGCACUCAGGCCUGUAGCCAUGAAGUGCUUUGAAAGGUUGGUCAUGACUCACAUCACCACCACACCAUCAUCCCAGAAACCCUAGACCCACUACAAUUAGCAUACCGCCCCAACAGAUCCACAGAUGACACAAUCUCCAUUG
rnacentral:lncRNA from 1 species